CCCAAAGGAGACUCUUUGCUUUGAGACUGGCUCAUUCCCACCCCCAACCUCAGAGCCAGCCCACCGAUUCCAGACACCCCAACUCCUGACCAAGGCUCCAGGGGAGAUCUGAAGCACAGCAGGAAAAGCCAUGGGCAUUGCCUGAGCAACCAUAGGAGCCAGGAUUCAACAUAUGCCACAGAAGAGACAAUCUUUUCCAUGAACCCCUUGACAUUCAUCCUGCGGUCUGAACCUGAGGUAGAGAAAAUUUCUUCCAUCAAGGUUUAUAAUUUUACAGCCCCUGUCUCAUAUUUUACUGUGGAACAAUCCAACAGAAGACAUAUAUCAUAUCUCAACUCUUCAUGCUUUGUAACCUGAAUGAUCUCAAUCCCCUUCGUAUCUAAUUUGAGAUCAGUUGCCAGGCCUUCAGAGAGCAUUAAUGGUAGCAGCAGACUUAUGAGAAACAACAUCAUAAGGAAAGAUGUCUUGGCUGAAAUGAACCAAAGAUGUCUUAGUUGAAGCAAUCAGUACUUGUGACACAAAGGGGAAGAUUGCACUGCAGAAUGUUCAUAUAUUGACCCAACACUUCAUCCCUGGGAUAAAGCUUAUUUGAUCAUGAUGGAUGAUGUGCAGUUCUGCUGAAGCUGAUGCAAUCCUGAGGCCAGAUUCAGACUUUGUCUUUAUGACAUGGCUCUUGAGUGGAACAGUUGAAUCAAGUAAUACCUAAUACAAAUAUCACAGUGAUAUGUUUUUGUCAUUUUAUGAAAUACAAGACUCAAGAACAUCAGCUGUACUGUUCUCCGAAACAAGCCACAUGGAAUAAGUUUCAGCUUAAAGUACAGAACAAUCUGAAAUUCAAAUAACUAGGUUGAAAGAGUGUGCCAAACAUUUCUUUUUACCUGCACUAACUCCUCAUUCAAACAUCCAGGAUUUCCCAAAGCCAUUCUAUAUUAACUACAAACUGGCAUCAGAGGUUACAGUAAGAUAAAUGCUAUCAUCACAGGUUGUCACAUGAGUAAAAUAGUAAAAUAAAUACAGAUAUGCAGAAAACACCAGAAGAAAAUGUCCAGCCCAAGAUGGAUAACUACACUCAAGAAAAUACAGGAAAUACAUAAUUUCUCAUCAUCAAAUCCAAAAGGAGGGUAGCAUACACAGAAGCACACAAACUCACCCACACACACAUACAUAAACACACACACAUACACACAACCACCAGCAAUAUCAAAACAACAAGAAUUAAGAAUUGCUUGUCACUAAUUCCUUUCAGCAUUAAUGGGAAUAGUUUCCCAAUGAAAAGACACCAUCUACUAGAAUGGCUGUAGAUGAAACUUGAUCCAUCAUUCUUCUUUGUACAAGAAAACACUUCAAUAACAAGGAUAGAGAUUACCUCAGAGCAAUGAGCUAGAAAAUAAUGUUCCAAUCCAACAGAUCCACAAAGGAUUAUGGAGUAGCCAUUGUAAUAUCUAAUAAAAUAGACAUUCAACAAGAAUUAUUCAAAAGAGUUGAGGGAAGAAACAUAAUGUUCAACAGAGGAAAAAUCCACCAAGAGGACAUUCCAAUUCUGAAUAUCUAUACUUAAAAUAAAAUCACACUCACAUUUAUAAAGGAAAUAUUACUAUAGCUUAAAUCCUAUAUUGAACCAUAUGUUAAUAGUGGUAGACUUCAAAACCCUUCUCCCACCAAUUAAAGAUAAUCCAAACAAAAGCAAAACAUAGAAAUAAUGGAACUAAUAGAUAUUGACACAAAUGGACCUAACAUAUCACAAGAAUAUUUUAGUGAAAAACAAAAGAACAACACUAUAUGGAAUCUUCUCCAAAAUUUAGCAUAUACUCAGCCACAAAGCAUUCCUCAACAAACAAAAGAAAACUGAAAAACAAAACAAAACAAAAACAACAAAAAACAAAACAAAACCAAUCAACCAACAAAACAAACAAA